rnacentral:lncRNA from 1 species
AUGGAAUUGAAUGGACCUGAAUGGAAUGCAGUUGAAUUGAAUGGACCUGAAAGGAAUGGAAUGAACUAAAAUGGAAUGCAAUGGAAGGGACUCGAAUGGAAUGGAAUGGAAUGGAAUGGAAUGGACUCGAAUGAAAUGGCAAUGGAAAGAAAUGGACUCGAAUGGAAUGGAAAGGAAUGGAAUGUACUCAACUGGAAUGGAAUGCAAAGGACUGAAAUGGGAAAGAAUGGAAUGGAAUGGAUACAAAUGGAAUGGAACGGAAUGGAAUCGAAUGGAAUGGACUCAAAUGGAAUGGCAUGGAAUGGAAUGGACUGAAAUGUAAUGAGGUGGAAUGGAAUUGACUAGAAUGUAAGGGGAUGGAAAAGAAUGGACAUGAAUGCAAUGGAAUGGAAUGGAAUGGAACAGACUUGAAUGGAAUGGAAUGGACACCAAUGGAAUGGAACGGAAUGGACUCGAAUGAAAUGGAAUGGACUCAAAUGGAAUGGAAUGGAAUGGAAUCC